UGUCCUCUGACACUCCAGUCUGGAACCCCGACCACGUUCUGAUCAGCUGAGCCCGGGCCUGAUGGGCUCUCCCAUGCCGGGAACGGGGCACUGAGCAGCCAUCGGGGUUGGCAUUCAUAACCAACCACCUGGUCCUUCCCACUACUGAACACAGCUCCAGGAAGGGUGGAGAAAAUAGACGGAGAAAGAGGCCGGCUGCUGGGGCUCAGGAAGGAAGUGGGGAGGCAGGUGGGCCUGUCUCAGGAGACCCGGGGUGCUGAGGGGAACCAGAGACUGAGAGGUGAGGAAUGGGGCCCAGGCUCAGGGGAGAUCACCCAGGGGCCCCCCACGGGGCCCCAGGGGCUGACACGGGGCCUGCAGGGUGGGAGGUUGCCUUGGGAGUGGUGGGUGGCUGGGGAGGAGUACUGGUGGCCAGGGAUGUGGGGUGAGGAUGGGAGGGGGGCUACCCACGGAGCUGCUCUUUCAUGGGUCAGGUCAGAAGCUGGGCAGUGGGGUUCCAGGGUCCGCCUGGGGCUGGAGGUGAGUCAUGGGGAGGAAAGGUCAGCCCAGGGAUGAAGAAACCAGCUGGGCCGCCUGGGGAGGUGAGAAAGACAGUGGCUGGGAGGAGGAAGGACUCCGGAGACCCUCCCCUUGGCCUCAGCUCCCCUGCUCUUACCAGCACCCCCCUUUCCAGAGGGCCCAUGGCUGGUCCCCACCCAAAGGGGACCCAGGUGGAACUGAAAUAUCGGAAGAAGCCAAAAAAGGAAGCAGAUCCCUGACUUCCACAUCCACUAUCUCAUCUGACCCCUAAGCUCCUCUAAGAAGAGGCAGGUGGAGUGGCCCGCAGGUCCACAACUCCAUGUCCGGGCGCGUUUCGGAAUGUUGUGGAUUUUAGAAAGGUAAUAACGGCGCACACACCUGCCAGCAAGGCUUGGAGCAGUACACUGUAAUCCGGUUCAUCUGCACUUGCGUAGUAAAACUAAAUGUAAUAAAUAAAGACCACCCACAGCUUGA